rnacentral:rRNA from 1 species
GAUGAACGCUGGCGGCGUGCCUAAUACAUGCAAGUCGAGCGAACAGACGAGGAGCUUGCUCCUCUGACGUUAGCGGCGGACGGGUGAGUAACACGUGGAUAACCUACCUAUAAGACUGGGAUAACUUCGGGAAACCGGAGCUAAUACCGGAUAAUAUAUUGAACCGCAUGGUUCAAUAGUGAAAGACGGUUUUGCUGUCACUUAUAGAUGGAUCCGCGCCGCAUUAGCUAGUUGGUAAGGUAACGGCUUACCAAGGCAACGAUGCGUAGCCGACCUGAGAGGGUGAUCGGCCACACUGGAACUGAGACACGGCCCAGACUCCUACGGGAGGCAGCAGUAGGGAAUCUUCCGCAAUGGGCGAAAGCCUGACGGAGCAACGCCGCGUGAGUGAUGAAGGUCUUCGGAUCGUAAAACUCUGUUAUUAGGGAAGAACAAAUGUGUAAGUAACUAUGCACGUCUUGACGGUACCUAAUCAGAAAGCCACGGCUAACUACGUG